GACGAACCGUGCGAACGUUGUUCGGAUUCACUGGGCUUAAAGGGCGCGUAGGCGGCUUGCCAAGUCAGGGGUGAAAUCGUUCGGCUCAACCGGACAAGUGCUUCUGAUACUGGCGGGCUGGAGGGAGGUAGGGGCAUGCGGAACUGUGGGUGGAGCGGUGAGAUGCGUUGAUAUCCACAGGAACUCCGGUGGCGAAGGCGGCAUGCUGGACCCGAUCUGACGCUGAGGCGCGAAAGCCAGGGGAGCAAACGGG
rnacentral:rRNA from 1 species